AAUUGGAGGGCAAGUCUGGUGCCAGCAGCCGCGGUAAUUCCAGCUCCAAUAGCGUAUAUUAAAGUUGUUGCAGUUAAAAAGCUCGUAGUUGAAUUUCGGGAUUGACGUGAUGGUCGUGCCUUAAGGGGUAUGAACUGUCGCAGUUGAUUUCUCACCUUCUGGAGAAGCAUGAUGUCCUUAAUUGGGUGUCAUGUGGAACCAGGACCUUUACCUUGAAAAAAUUAGAGUGUUUAAAGCAGGCAUUUUGCUCGAAUACAUUAGCAUGGAAUAAUAGAAUAGGACGGCAUGGUUCUAUUUUGUUGGUUUCUAGGAUCACCGUAAUGAUUAAUAGGGAUAGUUGGGGGCAUUAGUAUUCAAUUGUCAGAGGUGAAAUUCUUGGAUUUAUUGAAGACUAAUUACUGCGAAAGCAUUUGCCAAGGAUGUUUUCAUUAAUCAAGAACGAAAGUUAGGGGAUCGAAGACGAUCAGAUACCGUCGUAGUCUUAACCAUAAACUAUGCCGACUAGGAAUCAGACGAUGUUAAUUUUUUAAUGACUCGUUUGGCACCUUACGGGAAACCAAAGUGU
rnacentral:rRNA from 1 species